rnacentral:lncRNA from 1 species
UACCUUGAUAAUAACCAACUUCAAGGUUCAAUCCCUUCUUGUGUUGGUAGUUUAUCAAAGAUGCAGUACUUAAGCCUUGAUUCUAAUCUAUUAAAAGGUCCUAUUCCCCAAGAAAUUUGUAAUCUAGCAAAUUUAACUUCAUUGUACCUCUCCCAAAACAAAUUGACAGGUUCAAUCCCUUCUUGUAUUGGUAGCUUAUCAAAGAUGCAGUACUUAUGACUUGAUUCUAAUCUAUUAAAAGGUCCUAUUCCCCAAGAAAUUUGUAAUCUAGCAAAUUUAACUUCAUUGUACCUCUCCCAAAACAAAUUGACUGGUUCAAUCCCUUCUUGUAUUGGUAGUUUAUCAAAGAUGCAGUACUCAAGCCUUACUUCUAAUCUAUUAAAAGGUCCUAUUCCCCAAGAAAUUUGUGAUCUAGCAAAUUUAACUUCGUUGUACCUCUCCCAAAAUAAAUUGACUGGUUCAAUCCCUUCUUGUAUUGGUAGUUUAUCAAAGUUGCAGUACUUAAGCCUUGCUUCUAAUCUAUUAAAAGGUUCUAUCCCAAAAGAAAUUGGCAAGCUUUUUGAUCUAUCAAAUCUAAACCUUAGCUUCAACCAACUCUCAGGUCCUAUCCCUAUCUUGUCUGCUACUCAUCUCUACAUUGUCGACGCUGGAAAUGGUUGUCAAAAGAUUUUUCCCGAUCCAUUUGAAGGCAAUAGUGAUUUAUCACCCUAUAUGUGUCCUACUCCAGUUACCAAAAAAGCCAACAGCAGCAGAAUUC